AGGGAUGUACCAUUGAAAGACAUAAAAAAAAAGAUUUACAUGAAAAAUUAACAUGCAAGCAAAACCGAAAGAAACCAGAAAAUAAAACGAAAGUAUAUCAAAAGUGAAAGUAGGGAUACCAGCAAAGUCAACGAUAGCAGGUCAGACACUCCAUCCAGCAGUAAACGAAAAAAGGUAAAGACAGGCGAUAAAGAAAGGGGAGAUUAUCUACCUAAAAGGAUACAGAAAAAUGAUGUCAAAUUUGACAAUACUAAGAUUCAAACUCUGUUGACGUCGAAUAACAAUAAGCCAUACCAUUAUGCUGCUAUCGCUGGUAGUGAUCAUAUCAUUCUAAGUAUAGUCAUUCGAACACCACCAAAGAUUAUAAGUCCACCACCCGCACCACCUCCACCACCUAGUGACACGUGACAAUUAAAUAUAGACCCUACCUGCUUACAUUACCAGAAUUUAGAUCAUGUACGCAGUUGUACGCAGUUGUAUUGAGAUUUGUUCUAUUUGUUAACUACGUGAGCUAGCAGCUUCUAUACAAUUAUAUUUAUUUACCUGAUCUUUCUACUUUGUCGGCGAACGUUAGAAUUCUACAAAAAGAUUUACCAUCUUACUAAUAGCAGAUCACUAAGUAUAGCUUUCCGUAGACAACAAGAAUAAACUGGAUUACAAAACUAGACACAGCAUUUACAUAAGGUAGCAAUCAAAUGCACGUAGUCUUGGAUAUUUCAAGGCUACAGUGUAGCAAUCUGAAUGUGAUUGGCCUUUUACAUAGUACUGUAAUGUGUUUAUCUGAACAAAAGGGUUCUUUAAAAGGGAUAUAAACAUAGACAUGACUUACAAUAAGCCUAUUAUAUACGACCUCACCUUUCAUUCAUUACUACUGAGUAUCUUAUGUA